rnacentral:rRNA from 1 species
UCCUACGGGAGGCAGCAGUGGGGAAUAUUGCACAAUGGGCGCAAGCCUGAUGCAGCGACGCCGCGUGAGGGAUGACGGCCUUCGGGUUGUAAACCUCUUUCAGUAGGGAACAAGGCUGCACGUUGUGUGGUUGAGGGUACUUGCAGAAGAAGCGCCGGCUAACUACGUGCCAGCAGCCGCGGUAAUACGUAGGGCGCAAGCGUUAUCCGGAAUUAUUGGGCGUAAAGAGCUCGUAGGCGGUUUGUCGCGUCUGCCGUGAAAGUCCGGGGCUCAACCCCGGAUCUGCGGUGGGUACGGGCAGACUAGAGUGAUGUAGGGGAGACUGGAAUUCCUGGUGUAGCGGUGAAAUGCGCAGAUAUCAGGAGGAACACCGAUGGCGAAGGCAGGUCUCCGGGCAUUAACUGACGCUGAGGAGCGAAAGCAUGGGGAGCGAACAGGAUUAGAUACCCUGGUAGUCCAUGCCGUAAACGUUGGGCACUAGGAGUGGGGGAC